rnacentral:rRNA from 1 species
UACGAAGGGGGGCUAGCGUUGCUCGGAAUUACUGGGCGUAAAGGGUGCGUAGGCGGCGCGGUAAGUCGGGUGUGAAAUCUUGGAGCUUAACUCCGAAACUGCAUUCGAUACUGCCGUGCUUGAGGACUGGAGAGGAGACUGGAAUUUACGGUGUAGCGGUGAAAUGCGUAGAUAUCGUAAGGAAGACCAGUGGCGAAGGCGGGUCUCUGGACAGUUCCUGACGCUGAGGCACGAAGGCCAGGGGAGCAAACGGG